ACUGCUGCUGCCACUGAAGCUUGUACUGCAGGAAGCGGCUGCUGAGGAAGAUAUAUAUCCCUGAUUGGUUCCUGGAGGAAUCUCCUGGGGGAGGGGGUGGAUUUCUCUUUGUUUUAUUGCUCAUUCAUGACAUGACUGUUCUCAGCUCCCCACCCUGGUCUCAACACUGCAGAGGGCAAUAUUUUGAAGGAAGACCGAAAUGCAAGAGGACAUGGAUGUGGGGCAAGCAGAUGCCUCCAGUGCAUUCUCCGCUGCCCCUCCCCACCCCCGGAAAAUAUAAUCUCCUUCUUUCUCUUCUGCACCACUCUGACCUUUUCCUUCUAGAAGCAGCAAGAGAGUUGGAGUUGUCCAUCCUUUUUCUCCACCCAGUUUGACGUGAAGACAAUCACCAGGUUAUAGGCCCAGCAGUUCUCUAACUGGAUCUCUCAAGUAAUAAACAUGUUC